UACAGAGGGGGCAAGCGUUAUUCGGAAUUAUUGGGCGUAAAGGGCGCGUAGGCGGCAUGGCAAGUGGAAGGUGAAAUCCCUCGGCUUAACCGAGGAACUGCCCUCCAAACUGCUUUGCUUGAGGCCGGGAGAGGUGAGUGGAAUUCCCAGUGUAGCGGUGAAAUGCGUAGAGAUGUGGAGGAAUACCGAUGGCGAAGGCAGCCCCCUGGGAUAACACUGACGCUCAUGCACGAAAGCGUGGGGAGCAAACAGG
rnacentral:rRNA from 1 species